GUAAGCCGUGUGCGGGAAAACCGCACGCACGGAUUGAAAGGGGACGAAGGAAACGGACCCGUAA
rnacentral:misc_RNA from 1 species